GGGCCUGUGGCUCAGUGGAAGAGCCUCUCCUUUACAUACAGGAGGUCUGUAGUUCAAUCCUCACCAUCUCCA
rnacentral:tRNA from 1 species